rnacentral:rRNA from 1 species
UACGGGAGGCAGCAGUAGGGAAUAUUGCACAAUGGGGGAAACCCUGAUGCAGCGACGCCGCGUGAGUGAUGAAGUAUUUCGGUAUGUAAAGCUCUAUCAGCAGGGAAGAUUAUGACGGUACCUGACUAAGAAGCCCCGGCUAACUACGUGCCAGCAGCCGCGGUAAU